CCUUGUACACACCGCCCGUCACACCAUGGGAGUGGGUGGUACCAGAAGUAGGUAGACUAACUUCGGAGGUCGCUUACCACGGUAUGAUCCAUGACUGGGGUG
rnacentral:rRNA from 1 species